rnacentral:sRNA from 1 species
AGUUCACACGUGGCGCCAGCGGAGGCAGGUUGUCGUGCUCGUGCUGCUUUCUACAGCCAAUAUGAAAAGGCCUAAGUUAAAGAAAGCAAGUAAACGCAUGACCUGCCAUAAGCGGUAUAAAAUCCAAAAAAAGGUUCGAGAACAUCAUCGAAAAUUAAGGAAGGAGGCUAAAAAGCGGGGUCACAAGAAGCCUAGGAAAGACCCAGGAGUUCCAAACAGUGCUCCCUUUAAGGAGGCUCUUCUUAGGGAAGCUGAGCUAAGGAAACAGAGGCUUGAAGAACUAAAACAGCAGCAGAAACUUGACAGGCAGAAGGAACUAGAAAAGAAAAGAAAACUUGAAACUAAUCCUGAUAUUAAGCCAUCAAAUGUGGAACCUAUGGAAAAGGUAUGAUUAGGUCUCUUUAGGAAUGAGAGAUCAGGGGUUUUGAUUUUGGUUUUGUUGCUUGGGCCUGAGUGCAGUGGCACAGUCAUAGCUCACUGCAACCUGACCAGGCUCAAGCAGUCUUACCACCUCAGUGUCCAAGUAGCUGGGACUACAGAAGCACACCAUCACGCCUGGCUAAUUUUUUUAGUAGACACGGGCUUUCACUA